rnacentral:rRNA from 1 species
UAAGCCUGUGAAGGUGUGUCGUGAGGCAUGCUGGAGGUAUCAGAAGUGCGAAUGCUGACAUAAGUAACGAUAAAGCGGGUGAAAAGCCCGCUCGCCGGAAGACCAAGGGUUCCUGUCCAACGUUAAUCGGGGCAGGGUGAGUCGACCCCUAAGGCGAGGCCGAAAGGCGUAGUCGAUGGGAAACGGGUUAAUAUUCCCGUACUUGGUGUUACUGCGAAGGGGGGACGGAGAAGGCUAUGUUGGCCGGGCGACGGUUGUCCCGGUUUAAGCGUGUAGGUGUGUGUUCCAGGUAAAUCCGGUUCACUUUAACACUGAGGCGUGACGACGAGGCACUACGGUGCUGAAGCAACAAAUGCCCUGCUUCCAGGAAAAGCCUCUAAGCAUCAGGUAACACGAAAUCGUACCCCAAACCGACACAGGUGGUCAGGUAGAGAAUACCAAGGCGCUUGAGAGAACUCGGGUGAAGGAACUAGGCAAAAUGGUGCCGUAACUUCGGGAGAAGGCACGCUGACACGUAGGUGAAGUGAUUUACUCACGGAGCUGAAGUCAGUCGAAGAUACCAGCUGGCUGCAACUGUUUAUUAAAAACACAGCACUGUGCAAACACGAAAGUGGACGUAUACGGUGUGACGCCUGCCCGGUGCCGGAAGGUUAAUUGAUGGGGUCAGCGCAAGCGAAGCUCCUGAUCGAAGCCCCGGUAAACGGCGGCCGUAACUAUAACGGUCCUAAGGUAGCGAAAUUCCUUGUCGGGUAAGUUCCGACCUGCACGAAUGGCGUAAUGAUGGCCAGGCUGUCUCCACCCGAGACUCAGUGAAAUUGAACUCGCUGUGAAGAUGCAGUGUACCCGCGGCAAGACGGAAAGACCCCGUGAACCUUUACUAUAGCUUGACACUGAACAUUGAGCCUUGAUGUGUAGGAUAGGUGGGAGGCUUUGAAGUGUGGACGCCAGUCUGCAUGGAGCCGACCUUGAAAUACCACCCUUUAAUGUUU